UCACGUUGUGAAUAAAAUAAUUUGAAAGCUUAUUGCAAAGUGCACAUGGAUCUCUGCUACUAUCAUUUCAUGGCUGCUUUUUAUGAGACAAUGGGCACUGCCCACCUUUAAUUUUUAUGCUCUUGUCAUAGUCAUUGCCAUUACUGGACAAGUGAAUAUAUUGUAUGCUUUCUGACACAGACAGUCAGACAGAUCCUGUGCUCAGAAUAUGCCAUUGGCAUCUUCAUAUGCUCAUUGGAUUCAAGCAUAUGCUAUGCUACCUAUAUCAACACAAGGAUUCAACACUUCUCUGCCUUGAGGCUCCCAAUGGAACCUCCUCAGGAAAUUUUCAUCUUCCUCACAUGCUCAACAAUUCCAAGGUUGCUGAUUAUUUCAGCAGAGGUUUAUUUUCUAUGAAUGAAGAUUGUGAGUGUUCUCAUUUGAGAAUUUUCUGCAGGGCAACUCCUACACUUUGGCAUGAUAUUCUUGGACUGGAUUUUUUUUACCUUCCCAUCAUAACAUUUGUAUGAUGGGGAAUAUACUGAAAUCACAGCGCACAGAUAGAUUAGAAAUGGAUCAAUAAAGUGUCAUCUAUAUAUUGUUUUUUUUUGGUUGAAUUACUGCUGAUGUAAGCGGUAAAGCUAUUCAGCAUUCUGGAUGAAUAAUAUCUCUCAUACUGCCUCUGGUUUUGUUUUAGUUUGAUAGUUUAUGAAAGAAAAAGUCAUGGACUAAACAAUUAUUUCUAAAGAAAAGAGUGUUUUUUAA